AUCUAGCUGACGAGCCCCAAAUAAGACGAAGCUCACGUCCUGGAU
rnacentral:hammerhead_ribozyme from 1 species